rnacentral:lncRNA from 1 species
UAUACCGAUCCUGAAAAAGGGAAUACAAACAAAUCAAACUGUUUUCUCUAGUUCAUUGCAUUAAAAUAGAGUUACUAUAAAGUUAACGUUUAACCUUAAGCCUGCUGCAAGCAACUGAUUCUGCCUUGGCAACCAGUUCAGUAAAUUUUCAGUGAACACCCCUUUGAAUAAUAAAUUGUAUUGCCCAAAUUGGGUGAUGGACCAGUCCAUUUUUGAAUUUUAGCAGGGUAAAGGUUAAGAUUCUCAUCAAUUAUCAUAACCAUAUAGGAAAAAUAAAAAAUUGACAUUAAAUCGAUAAAAAUCACCGAAAUGAUAAAAAUGAAUUGUCUGUGAAAAUCAUUUUUAUAUUGUGGAUAAUAUUUAUUUUGAUUAUUCUUAAAAUAACUUAAUGAGGGAAACAUUUAAUAAGCGGUCAGCAAGAGCAAAUAAGUAUUGCAUCCUCGUCACCAGAUCGUAUCUAAAUUGCAAGCGGAUAGAAACAAUUAUUUACCUAAUAAGAUAUAGAUAUUUUUGUCUAUCUGCUUUUGAUCAUUGUUAAUUUUGCAGCGAUUUAAAGUAAAGGAAAACUAUUAAUUUAGAAAACUCACCCAUCACAAUCUUUGCAAUACCAUAGCCGAGCAAUGCAAUAA